UCAGCAGGGUCUAGGGUAAUUGAUGUCAGGUGAAUAGGAAACUCCCCAGGAUAAUGUCAGUGCCAGAGGGAGUGGUGAUUAGUGGCGAUAAAUGCUGGUGUGAUCUGCAUCUGAUGAAGGCAGAGCUGAAAUGUUUGUGGGGCUGGGCCUAGCUGAGAAUAACAAAAGGUUUUCUGUUCCAAGCUGAGAAUAAAAAGAUUUAAAAUCAGAAUACGUGAAAACAGUUACAAAUACGAUUGUAAAGAUUCUGUUACAUCCCUGUAAACCUCAUUGGGAGCCCCAAAUGGAAAGCACUGCAGGAAAAUUUAAGGAAAAGACUGCUCAGGAAACCAGAUUUUUGAUGUGUUUUAUUCAACAGAUCUUUUCAUGGAAGUCAUCUGGAAUUUUAUUUCACCUCUGUAGAGUAACAUUUAUACCAACUUGAAGAAGAUGAAGCAAAAGGGAGAGAAAGAACCUGGUCCGAUAUUUAAAACCAGUGUCUUAAAGUGGAUGAACUUGGACAAGGCUGAAAGAGCAGACUGGUUACCUGGAUGAGAAGACUGGAAAGACAGAAACUAAUAAGGAGAAAAGAAGGCAGAGAAACCCACAUAAUCAGACGUGAAAUGAAGACAUUUCAAGACUUGCCAUAGCAAUCUUUCUCCAAAAAUGAAUGGACUUGAGGCAUCUUCUUGUUGAAGUGAAACAAUCACGAAGUAUUGUGGGGUUUAGACAGUCACAAAGUAUUGUGGAAUGCUUAUUGAAUGCUAAGAUGGGAAGAGACAUGUGGAUGGAAACCGAACUCCACUGACUGGAAAAUCACUGCACAGACUCCCUAGUGUUUUCAAAUGUAUAUUGUGCAACACAAGACUACAGUAGAUCACAGAUAUUUCACCUGAAAUAUCUCUGAAAAAAAGCCCUUCCUCCCUUCCUUCCUUCCAAAAAAGUUUGUUGGGACAUACUUUUCCAAGACCAAAGAAUUUCCAAGGUACUUUGUGCUGUCUUAGGAUGUUCAUUUCUCUAUUUGGCACAUGUAGGACAUAUAGGACAAAAUGCUAUCUGUAAAUUCUAGUUGUUUGCAUUACCAAAGGUAGUAGACACUUGUUUAUACUUGAAGAAGCCAAGACUUGAUGUUCCUUGAAAGUCUUGAAUCCCAGACAGCAUCAAGAAUAAAAUCAAGGUUCUUGUUCAAAUGCAGCCCUGCAAAGGGGCUGUAACUCACAGUCCUUUACACCUCCACAGUACUGUAUCCACUGAAUUUGGCUUUCUUAGAACAGAAAUGGACAGAUUAUAGAAAAUUCUGCCUUCAUCUGCUAUGCAGUGGUCAAGCAAGCUGGCAGAAAGUGCUACUCUGGCAUAACCUCAUUUACCAUCCUGAUCAGUCUCUGGUUUAAGGCACAAUCUAUUUUAAAAACAUAGUAUUCCUGUAACUUUCCUCACUAGUUCCCAUUUCUAUUCAGUCCACUUACAGGGUUCAGAAAAAGCCCAAAAAUUGGCAUUGUGGCCUAGGUUUGUCUGUUAUAACCAGAGAGGAAUGUCUUGAACUUAAUAUGUUUGGUUUGGGAGUUCUGUUUUUGUCCGCUAUAACCAAUUGUCCAUGUCCAUCAUAAGUGUAGUGUGUACUAUAUAAUUUAACAGCAGUGGUUAGUACAGCAAAAGCCAACUGUUGAGGCUGGGUGGGAAACCUGAGAUAUUUUGUUAACCAAAUAUGUCCUAAAAUACUCUUAAUUUUUUUGAGAAACUAUCAAUCUCUGCAUUCUUGGCUAAGUGCUGUUGUUGAAAUUUUAAAAUGGUCUGUUCAUCUGUAAGCUUCACCAAGAGAAGAAAAAAAAAAUAUUUUUUUAUUUAUUCUUCCAAACUAUCAAAUGUUUUAUGUAGUAAGCAGAACCCUGCCAUUCUUGAGCUUGAGGAAUGAAAUGGGAGGGGAGCAGACCCGAUUAAUUUGGAAGAGAGUGUAAGUUUUUAAAAUUUGAAAUAUAAAAAUAUCUUGUAUCUUAGAUAUGGAGAGCAAAUACAUAAGACAAAGCUUUCUCAUCACAGUUAAAGUACAUUAUUUUUAACAGCCUGGAAAUUUAAGGAUGUCAGUAAAAUUCUCAGUUUCUUAAUUUAUUAAGCCUUGUAGCCUAGAACAGAAAGGAAUGGAAUAGGGAUUAAUUUAAAGUACAGUAUACUUUACCCUUUUAAAUGUAGAUGAUCUUUAAAAAAUGAAAAUGAACUUGGCUUGAGCUGAAUCUAAAUGAACAUUCUUGCUUCUGUAACAAGAAAUAUAAUUUGUUUUAAAAAAAAAAAUCUUGAGGGGGAAAAGGGGGAGGGGAGAGCAAACUGAGGAAAAAAAUGUAUAUUUUUUUCCUUCUAUAAACAAAACAUUUUAAUUUUACACUUCCACAUUUCCAUUAAAAGCAAAGCUAGAUAAAUACCAGACUUGCACACCAUUCAUACAAUUAGCAGGUGAUGCAGUCCGUCUUAUAGCCAAGUAACUCAGUGGCUGGGGAACUUGCCCACAGGGUGGGUGGAAAAAGGCUCACCUCUGCCAAUGGAGAACCCAACCCAUAUCUUCAUCUUCCAAGAAAUAUCCUGGGGGAAGAAUGAUAUGUUUUUUAAUUCUUUGCAGAGCAGUCCCAAUUUGCUUGCAAUACAGUAUUUGUUUUACUGAGGAUUCUCCCACUUUUUAUAAAUAAGUGAUUUAAUGAUUGUGUUUUUCUUGACUCUAACCUGGCAUCCUGAGAGAGUCUUUGUCCUCUGGAGUCCAUUGCUGAUCCUCGCUGGACUUGAUAGGCUGUGCAUGGUGUGGCUAGUUCCAUUUGGAGAGUGUCAUUGGUGUGCCCCCAUCUUAGGGAGCAAGACUAAGAUGGGGUAGAGGGAGGGGAGCAACUUGCACAAACUUUACAGCUUUUGUAACAUAUCCAGGCAUCUACAUGAACCAAGCAAUUGUGGAACAAAAGAGCAAGCCUCAGGCACAAUCCCUCCAUGGGUGGUAGCCUGUGUGUUUGGCAGAGUGAGGAACUGUGAGAUAGCUUAUAAGAGAGCUCUGCUGUUCAGGGGCCGUUAACCAAUCCUUAUGUAAACUCUUCCUGAAAGCUCACUUCCACCAUACUGAGACAAAAAAAGCAGUGUCUUUUCUGAUCCUCUGGUAAGCUGCACAUAAGACUUUUCAGUUAUUUCUUCCUGUUUUGCUGCCUUUGCUUGUUGUAGGUAAGGUAAAAUGGAUUGCAGGCAACCUGGGACAGGGGACUGACAUUUUUCUUCUUUCUAAGUCUCUACUGUGAAUGGAACAAGACUCCUUUUCUUGCUGCAAAAAUGCAGUUUCUUGAUGUGAGGUGUUAUGCAAGUUACUUUAAUUACUUGGCCUGAGAGCCCAGGGACCUCUUCUGAACUACAGUACCGGUUCUUGCAGGCAGCAUAAAGUCAGACUUGCUCAGCAGUGAAAGCACAGCUUCAGAACCACAAAUUCUGCCCCUAUCCUGACUAAAAUAUAUAUUAAAAAAAAUGCUGCAGUAAGCUCCAGCCUGU